rnacentral:rRNA from 1 species
UACGUAGGGGGGCAAGCGUUGUCCGGAUUUAUUGGGCGUAAAGCGCGCGCAGGCGGUCCUUUAAGUCUGAUGUGAAAGCCCACGGCUCAACCGUGGAGGGUCAUUGGAAACUGGGGGGACUUGAGUGCAGAAGAGGAGAGUGGAAUUCCACGUGUAGCGGUGAAAUGCGUAGAGAUGUGGAGGAACACCAGUGGCGAAGGCGACUCUCUGGUCUGUAACUGACGCUGAGGCGCGAAAGCGUGGGGAGCAAACAGG